rnacentral:siRNA from 1 species
GAAGAAUGUGUUGUCUGUCGUGGA